rnacentral:rRNA from 1 species
UACGUAGGGUGCAGGCGUUAAUCGGAAUUACUGGGCGUAAAGCGUGCGCAGGCAGUUUCUUAAGUCAGAUGUGAAAGCCCCGGGCUUAACCUGGGAACUGCGUUUGAAACUGGGAGACUUGAGUGUGGCAGAGGGGGGUGGAAUUCCACGUGUAGCAGUGAAAUGCGUAGAUAUGUGGAGGAACACCGAUGGCGAAGGCAGCCCCCUGGGUUAACACUGACGCUCAUGCACGAAAGCGUGGGGAGCAAACAGG